GCAGGUUUACUCGUGGCCUGAUAGCUGAUGGCCGGUAGCGACGUUGUUCUUCCAUGGUUUUGAUCUCACCCUUUUGAUGCACGAGUGUUCUUCCAUGUUUUUGAUCUCACCCUUUUGAUGCACAAGGCUUUGGCAUCGGUCCGUAAUAAACAUUCAUGUUCUUUCUUUCUUUUUUUGAAAAAAAGGCAGCCAUUCUUUCAUUUGAUCAGAGGAAAAAUGUCAGAUGAAAAGUCAAGGGAAAAGGAUCAGAUGAAAAAAAAGCCAGCGCGGAUAUUCAUUAUUUCCCUACAUUUGGAAUUUAUUAUAUUUAAGGGUCUGUUCCAUUUGAUGUGCUUUAGCCAAUUCCGGUAUGAAGUUUCUGUUGUAGCUUGGUUGAUUUUGUUUCAUGUGAUUGGCGCUUUUUGAAUAUGCACAAAAAAACCUUUCAGUUGUGACUGUCGAAAUGUAUUGAUAGCAUAUAUAUAUAUAUAUGUGUGUGUAUACUGACUUUCCUUCUAAUGCAUGUACUUAUUCUCCUUGAAGUAAUUAUUUGUUUAAAGGUAAUUUCCAGGUCAUGUUCAUUCAACACUACUGGGAACCGCUGAAAGCUGUACAAUGACGACGACCAUAAGUGUUACCAAUAAACAAUGAGGCAAGUAUGGUUUCCAUGUUUGGUUUUAAUCUAACACUUGAUUGUAGAGUCAUUUUCUUAGUUUUCUCUGCGGAUAUUUGAUUGUGUGUUACUUACGGAAUUGACAAUCAUUGAUACUUUAGUUGUCUGGCAUGUGAUCUUCCCCUCUAUUAAAUGCAAAAUAUGCCUUUGAAUCCCCCCGGAUAUAUUAAUUAUAGUUUUUUGUUAAAACUUGAAGUAGGAGCCUCACUUAUUUUCAAAUCUUAUACUCUUUUCAGUAUUUGAAAGAAGUGCUUCUAGCAUGGCGGGAAGUCAUGUAAGUGUAAAGGCUACAACCUUGAUUCUCACAAAAAGGGUGCCACACUGAGUUUGCAAUUGCGCCAUUGCGGGCAAUGGAGCCAGCUUUUGGGUCCUUCCCUUGCAUAAAAAAGGCAUGCCUUUGGGUUCCUUCUUAUUUUCCCGACGGUCAAGUUUUUUUAAUAAUUUCCAUCAAUAAAAGGCUACACACCUCUUUUAUGUUUGCGUGUUUGGAAUAAUUUUGAUUUUAUGUUUUAUUAUGUUCUGUCCAAUGUUGGCAUGUCUUCAAAGUGGAACCAUCUUAUUUGCAGACCUUGAAGGCAUGUAAUGUUGACUGAAAUGUUAUAAAUAAAACCGAGGAUGCUUGCUUAUAUUGCUUCUGUCCUUCCUUUGUUACACAUUAAUACAAGAAAGUUGGACAGGGGACACUCCGGUUUCUUCCUUCUGGCCCCACUUCUAAUUGUACUACCCUAGCAGUGCAAUGUACUGAUGAUGGAAUGACUGAUGAGACUUUGUUAGUUUUAUUUAAUAAAAU
rnacentral:lncRNA from 1 species